AGAGUUUGAUCAUGGCUCAGAUUGAACGCUGGCGGCAGGCCUAACACAUGCAAGUCGAACGGUAACAGGAAGCAGCUUGCUGCUUUGCUGACGAGUGGCGGACGGGUGAGUAAUGUCUGGGAAACUGCCUGAUGGAGGGGGAUAACUACUGGAAACGGUGGCUAAUACCGCAUAACGUCGCAAGACCAAAGAGGGGGACCUUCGGGCCUCUUGCCAUCAGAUGUGCCCAGAUGGGAUUAGCUUGUUGGUGAGGUAACGGCUCACCAAGGCGACGAUCCCUAGCUGGUCUGAGAGGAUGACCAGCCACACUGGAACUGAGACACGGUCCAGACUCCUACGGGAGGCAGCAGUGGGGAAUAUUGCACAAUGGGCGCAAGCCUGAUGCAGCCAUGCCGCGUGUAUGAAGAAGGCCUUCGGGUUGUAAAGUACUUUCAGCGGGGAGGAAGGUGUUGUGGUUAAUAACCGCAGCAAUUGACGUUACCCGCAGAAGAAGCACCGGCUAACUCCGUGCCAGCAGCCGCGGUAAUACGGAGGGUGCAAGCGUUAAUCGGAAUUACUGGGCGUAAAGCGCACGCAGGCGGUCUGUCAAGUCGGAUGUGAAAUCCCCGGGCUCAACCUGGGAACUGCAUUCGAAACUGGCAGGCUUGAGUCUUGUAGAGGGGGGUAGAAUUCCAGGUGUAGCGGUGAAAUGCGUAGAGAUCUGGAGGAAUACCGGUGGCGAAGGCGGCCCCCUGGACAAAGACUGACGCUCAGGUGCGAAAGCGUGGGGAGCAAACAGGAUUAGAUACCCUGGUAGUCCACGCCGUAAACGAUGUCUACUUGGAGGUUGUGCCCUUGAGGCGUGGCUUCCGGAGCUAACGCGUUAAGUAGACCGCCUGGGGAGUACGGCCGCAAGGUUAAAACUCAAAUGAAUUGACGGGGGCCCGCACAAGCGGUGGAGCAUGUGGUUUAAUUCGAUGCAACGCGAAGAACCUUACCUGGUCUUGACAUCCACGGAAGUUUUCAGAGAUGAGAAUGUGCCUUCGGGAACCGUGAGACAGGUGCUGCAUGGCUGUCGUCAGCUCGUGUUGUGAAAUGUUGGGUUAAGUCCCGCAACGAGCGCAACCCUUAUCCUUUGUUGCCAGCGAUUCGGUCGGGAACUCAAAGGAGACUGCCAGUGAUAAACUGGAGGAAGGUGGGGAUGACGUCAAGUCAUCAUGGCCCUUACGACCAGGGCUACACACGUGCUACAAUGGCGCAUACAAAGAGAAGCGACCUCGCGAGAGCAAGCGGACCUCAUAAAGUGCGUCGUAGUCCGGAUUGGAGUCUGCAACUCGACUCCAUGAAGUCGGAAUCGCUAGUAAUCGUGGAUCAGAAUGCCACGGUGAAUACGUUCCCGGGCCUUGUACACACCGCCCGUCACACCAUGGGAGUGGGUUGCAAAAGAAGUAGGUAGCUUAACCUUCGGGAGGGCGCUUACCACUUUGUGAUUCAUGACUGGGGUGAAGUCGUAACAAGGUAACCGUAGGGGAACCUGCGGUUG
rnacentral:rRNA from 1 species